rnacentral:tRNA from 1 species
ACUAUUUUGGCAGAAAAUUGUAUUGAUUUUAGAAGUCAUAAAUAUAUAAAAGUUAUUAUAUAGGUAGUA